rnacentral:lncRNA from 1 species
GGCUGGCUCCUCGCCCUCCCCGCCUCCUCCGGGUGCCGGGUCCGUCGGUGUUGGGGAGAUGCUGCAGCCGCCCGCCGUUGGCGUUGCGGAGCGCGCCGCUGCCGGUCCGCCCGCUCCACCGCCGCCGUAGCGCCCCGGGGUCCGAAGGCGCACCCGAGCCGGGCCAUGCCGCGGGGAGCGGCGCCGCGGGCCGUGCUGCUGGCCGCGCUGCUGGCGGGGCUCCGAGGCGCGACGGGUCGCCUGCUGAGCGGCCAGCCAGUCUGCCGGUUAGGAACCCAGAAGCCUUGUUAUGAAGUCAUUUACUUCCGUGAUGCUUCUCAAAGACUGAACUUUGAGGAAGCCAGAGCAGCCUGCAGGAGGAAUGGAAGCCAGCUAGUCAGCAUUGAGUCUGAAGAUGAACAGAGACUGAUAGUGAAGUUCAUUAAAAACCUCCUGGCUUCUGAUGGCGAUUUCUGGAUUGGGCUCAGGAGGCGUGAGGACCAACAAAGCAAUGGCACAGCCUGCCAGGACCUUUAUGCCUGGAUCGAUGGAAGCACAGCAGCAUUUAGGAACUGGUAUGUGGAUGAGCCUUCCUGCGGCAGCGAGGUCUGCGUGGUCAUGUAUCAUCAGCCGUCAGCCCCCGCCGGCAUCGGGGGCCCUUACAUGUUCCAGUGGAAUGACGACCGAUGUACCAUGAAGAACAAUUUCAUCUGCAAAUAUUCUGAUGGUGAAGAGACAGAGCCAGCAACACCCAUCCUUCCAGAAGACACAGAGAAAGAAGAUACCACAGAAAUACUGAAAGAAAGCAAAGAAGCUGCCUUGAAUCUUGCCUACAUCCUAAUCCCCAGCAUUCUCCUCCUCCUCCUUGUGGUCACCACAGGUGUAUGUUGGGUUUGGAUCUGUAGAAGGAGGAAACGGGGGCAGCCGGACCCCAGCACUAAGGAGCAGCGCCCCACCUGGCCGGCUCUGCAGCCCGGGAACAGCCCGGACCUGGAGGUUUACAACGUCAUACGAAAGCAGAGCGAAGCUGAUCUGGCCGAGACCCGCCCGGACCUAAAGAACAUCUCGUUCCGAGCGCGCUCGGGAGAGGCCACGCCCGACGCCGUGUCUUGUGACUAUGAAAACGUGGCCGUGAACCCGUCUGAGAGCGGGUUCGUGACGCUGGCGAGCAUGGAGAGUGGCUUCGUCACCAACGACGUUUACGAGUUCUCCCCGGGCCGAGCGGGGAGGAGCAAGGAGUCCGGAUGGGUGGAAAAUGAAAUCUAUGGUUAUUAG